AAUUUUUCAUUACAUUUAUUAGAUAUUUUUUCAUUUCCUGUAUUAGAUAUUUUUCAUUACAUUUUGAUAUUUUUGCAUUACAUUUAUUUGAUAUCUUUUCAUUACAUUUAUUAGAUAUUUUUCAUCACAUUUUCAUAUUUUCUCAAUACAUUUAUUAGAUAUUUUUUCAUUACAUUUAUUAAAUAUGUUGUAUUACAUUUACUUGAUAUCUUUUCAUUCCAUUUAUGAGAUAUUUGUUCAUUACAUCAAUGAGAUAUUUUUACAUUACAUUUACUAGAAAUAUUUUUUCAUUAACCUUUCAAAGGUAUUGUCCACCU
rnacentral:lncRNA from 1 species